CAGCAAGGAUCCCUACAACACUUAAGAUUGAAUUGUAUUCUUUGGACAAAGAAAUUGUGACAGUGGAAGAAUAAGAAUGGCAAACUCUCCAGGACAGCCAGGGCUAUACAGAGAAACUCUGUCUCGAAAAACCAAAAAAAAAAAAAAAAAAAAAAAAAAAAAUGGCAAACUUAUCUGUCAGUGCCUCAUCUAUACAGGCUAUCUACACUUUUUGUCUCAGUAGAUCGACACACGGUCACUUGACGGAAGAAACAGGAGGCUUGUGAAAUGGCUCAGCAGGUCAAGAUGCCUUCUGCUAAGCCUGAUGACCUGAGUUUGAGCCCCAGGCCCAACUUAGUGGAAGGAAAGAACUGACUCCAGCAAGUUGUCUUCUGGUUGUCCACAUACACUGUGUUCCAUAUGUGACCCUUCCCUGUAUUCAAGGAAAAUCAAU
rnacentral:lncRNA from 1 species